rnacentral:rRNA from 1 species
UACGUAGGGUCCGAGCGUUGUCCGGAGUUACUGGGCGUAAAGCGCGCGCAGGCGGCUCGUCAAGCAUGGCGUGAAAGCCCCCGGCUCAACUGGGGAGGGUCGUCGUGGACUGGCGAGCUUGAGGGCGGUAGGGGCUGGUGGAAUUCCCGGUGUAGUGGUGAAAUGCGUAGAGAUCGGGAGGAACACCCGUGGCGAAGGCGGCCAGCUGGGCCGACCCUGACGCUGAGGCGCGAAGGCGUGGGGAGCGAACGGG